rnacentral:rRNA from 1 species
GACGAACGCUGGCGGCGUGCUUAACACAUGCAAGUCGAACGAUGAAGCUGGAGCUUGCUCCGGUGGAUUAGUGGCGAACGGGUGAGUAACACGUGAGUAAUCUGCCCUUGACUCUGGGAUAACUGCGGGAAACUGUAGCUAAUACCGGAUACGACACCUUCGGGCAUCCGAUGGGUGUGGAAAGAAUUUCGGUCAAGGAUGAACUCGCGGCCUAUCAGCUAGUUGGUGAGGUAAUGGCUCACCAAGGCGACGACGGGUAGCCGGCCUGAGAGGGUGACCGGCCACACUGGGACUGAGACACGGCCCAGACUCCUACGGGAGGCAGCAGUGGGGAAUAUUGCACAAUGGGCGAAAGCCUGAUGCAGCAACGCCGCGCGAGGGAUGAAGGCCUUCGGGUUGUAAACCUCUUUUAGUUGGGAAGAAGCGAAAGUGACGGUACCAACAGAAAAAGCACCGGCUAACUACGUGCCAGCAGCCGCGGUAA